rnacentral:rRNA from 1 species
UAGGAGAAAGGGGGAGGGGGGGAAGGCUAGGCGGUACGGAGGGGAGCGGUCGAGGGAGGAGGAGAGGGCGAGGCGGCGCCCCGGGCCGAGGCGCGCGCGGUGGCGGCGGCGGCGCCGGCGCUAGAGGUCCGGGCGGCGGCGCCUCGGGCGGGGGACGGGGAGGCGCGGGCGGGGCAGGGGCGAGGUGCGCCGGGCGCCGCCUGUCCCGGGCGCGCCCCGGAAGCGCAGCCCGGAUCGCCCGGCGGACAAGCCACCGGCGGCGCGGCGGCGGGCGAGGAGCAGGAGGCGGCGGCGGCAGAAGCUCGCGGCUAAGCGGAGGCGGCGCUGCUUCUUGAGCAUGCUACUUUAGGAGUGCUCGGAGCGGUUCGGCCCUCCCCCUCGUCUGAAGCCGUUCAUGAUGUCGGACGGACGCGAGCGGCUAGGCGCCUAACUAGCCGAUGGGAUGAGCUAUUCCUAAGACGAGCUCAGCCGUUAGUCUUUGACGCUGCUCAAGGUCCAGUGCCCCUUCCUGCAACUCUUCUAGGAUCUGACCCUCUUGUCACGGUGGUUCGUUCAGCUUUAGGGCAAGUUCGGUCGGGCUCAGGAGGAGGUCCUAAAGUGACCACAGGGUCGUCAACAACUAGAACGAACGUACUCCCUACGAUACUCGUUUGAACCGUCACUGGGGUUGUUUUAAUUAGGAGACCAUGGACAUCUGGAACAACACCUAGUAAGUCAUGUUCAACUACACCGUUCUAGCCUCUUACGACAAGUCCGUUUAUACCUCGAACUCAAGUCGGCAUUGUUCCUCGCCAAACCUAAAAACUUUACCCCAAGGUGACGUAAGUUAUUGUACGAACAACAAGGUGGACCUAGACCUUAACAAGUGGUCCACUUAGAACUUAUAGACCGGUCCCAACAGAAGUUGUUACCACCCUAUGAAAUGGGACUAUCACAACAGCCGUGUCUAAGUGUGUGUUGAUACUAUCUACCAGAACCACAACGACCUACCCCUCAACCACCAUAUCUCCGUCUUCGAUGUUACGAACCCGUCGGUUACUCGUACCAGAACGGUCGUCAACAACCAAAGUUCAAUAGUCCCUUCGACUCCUUACCUCAAUGCCGGUGUCUGAACCAAGAUUGUCAUUGAGUUUACGAAUCCUUUGUACCACAACAACCCUUCAAACAACUUAAAAUACCCCCUCCAUACCCACUUGAUAGUGAACGACUAUCCCGAUGAUAACGUUUGUACCGUGGUCUUAUACCACGUUGAUACCCAAAGAAGGGUCAACUACGGUUCUGUAACCUGAUGGACUUCGAUUGACCGUCUUCACUACUUUGACACCGGUACUAUCUCUGAAUGGACGCGCGGUUAUUAUACAAGCAGCUGAUGUUCGUCCAAGUUCGACUUUCUCACAUAAGUAGAAUAGACCUUGAACUGAACCUACUCCACCUUGGUACAGACAGGCCUGGUUUUGCCGGAGUACUAUCUCACUGUAACUUCUUGUACGUCAGUCUAACCGAAAGAACGGACCUGUUGUUUCAUCCCAAGUUCCCAAAACGACAGGGGUUCCUUAGCGUCCGAUUUCAACGACUCAAAAGCAAGGCACCCUGCGGUCGUUUCUAUUUCGUACCACUACAACAUUAACGCCGAUAGUGGUCAACGUGGUUGUGUAGUUUAGGAUUACAUUACGACCCUCGACGAAACCAACGGUUUUUCCGAACACUGGAUCCGGACCUCCACUUUGGUACCUAAUUCUGUUCAGAACGUGGUCCAAGACCACAACACUUCUUCAUGAACCUGUUCUCGCCAGACGUCUUCAUAGAAUUGGUCGAACCGAAGUUAUAACAACCGAUACCCACAUGUUGGACGUAUCCUUUGAGACCUCUAGAACUACUUAGGCAUCGACGACGUUAAUGACUGUUACUACAACAGCGACGACGACACAACAGACCCUUGUCCUUAAAGCUUCCGGCACAUGUGCGUAACUGGGCUCGUUUAAUAGAGCGUAGAGGAGGUAACCAACACCGGAUACGGGAGCGACCGUGCCAAUUAUAACUAAAACUCUUUCUUGGUCAUCCGUAGAGUUUCCUACCCUUCCUCCAAAUGAAGUCCCUAUAAACCGGAUGGUGACUACUCUAACGACUCCAACAAUUCCGCUCACACGAGGGUCUGUACAAGUUCCCGUGUAUACUCCGUUAGUGGUUUCCUUUAGGAUACACCUUACUCGACGGUCAUAGUCGUUCGUGAGAGAUGGGUACCCUAGGUUUUAGUUGUAUGUAGGUACUCGGAGGAAUAAAGUUCCUAUACUGUUACUGGGGAGGACCGCGUGCCGGACACUUCCUACGCAUGACAGAAGAGUUGAAGCCACUGUCAUAGUGUUGACUAGUGUAUAGGGGUCGACCUUCGUAGGUGGGUCUGUCGGGUCGACGGUUUAUAGAUUUCCUCGCGUUACAACUUUCCUUCCUGAAGUUGAGUAUACCGUCGGCUGCUCCCUUGCUACUCUAGUACCGAUCCCCUUGAAAACGGUUGUAAGCAUAACACUUGUUCAAGAACUUCCCUCUCCAACCGGGGGUUUGGUAGGUACAUGGUAGUCCCCUCUUCGAACGACAAAAACUACGACGAUACUUUAUGUUCUUGCUUCCCGUACUGUGAUAGUAGGACCGACCACGACUCAUACCGUCACCUUCGAGUUCCCUAACCCGACGCUUCCCAGGUUACGAAGUCCCUCACUUCCGACACUAUCGGUUCUCAAAACUCUCCUAAGUGGCAUCGUUAGAGCGACCUUACCCGUAGCAGGGAGAUACGAAGUUCCGACCCCUCCUACGGCUGUGAGAACCGAAUUGUCCGGUACUCGCGAUGUGGUAGGUCGAAGGCUGACUACACUUACUUUAGUUCGGACCGGUUCUACAAUGCCAGUGUUGGCUGUUGCCGUUCAGCAAGUGCACGUGUGAGGCGAAACUGUGACUCCACCUCGAACGAAUGAUGUGGGUACCACCAUAAGAUGGUAUACAGUAGUCUUUCUAGCGUCGGCUCGUUAUCUCUCUACUAACGCUGCUGCUCCGUUUAACAUUAACAACAUUUGUCAAACAAAUCGUUCAGGACAAACUCCUCAUGGGGGAGUUUAUUGCAGACUCUACAGCCGUCUCUUGAGCCUUUAAAACUCGCGCAUUGUGCGAUCCAAAAACAAACUUCCGUGAUGAUACAAUUAUUAUACGGAGUGUUGACUACUCUACGAAAACGUAUAACAUUGCCAGAUACUUGUGACUUCACCUUAGUCGGCUUCCUUACAGGUGUAACAAAAGAAUGAAGACCAACAAAAAACUAUGCAGAUAACAAAAUUAAGGUACUUGUCAUCUGCAUAGUAAGACCCUAACUACUGAUCUAAGCCUUCGCGUGAAAACCGAGGCCCGCCGCGCGCGGGCAACAUAGAACUGCCACGUCCUACAGAAAUUCUACACACCAAUUCCAUCACCUCAAAGUAAAUACUUUAGUCAUUUCUUUGAAACUACCG